CCCUUAGAUGUUCUGGGCCGCACGCGCGCUACACUGACGAAGUCAGCGAGCAUGUCCUACGCCGACAGGUGCGGGGAAUCUUGUCAAACUUCGUCGUGAUGGGGAUUGAUUAUUGAAAUUCUUGAUCAUCAACGAGGAAUUCCUAGUAGGCGCAAGUCAUCAGCUUGCGUCGAUUACGUCCCUGCCCUUUGUACACACCGCCCGUCGCUCCUACCGAUUGGGUGUGCUGGUGAAAUGUUCGGAUCGGCCGUUUGUCGCGGUUUCCGCGUCAUGUGGCUGAGAAGUUCAUUAAACCCUCCCACCUAGAGGAAGGAGAAGUCGUAACA
rnacentral:rRNA from 1 species